rnacentral:rRNA from 1 species
GUCGAGCGGUAGAGAGAAGCUUGCUUCUCUUGAGAGCGGCGGACGGGUGAGUAAUGCCUAGGAAUCUGCCUGGUAGUGGGGGAUAACGUUCGGAAACGGACGCUAAUACCGCAUACGUCCUACGGGAGAAAGCAGGGGACCUUCGGGCCUUGCGCUAUCAGAUGAGCCUAGGUCGGAUUAGCUAGUUGGUGGGGUAAUGGCUCACCAAGGCGACGAUCCGUAACUGGUCUGAGAGGAUGAUCAGUCACACUGGAACUGAGACACGGUCCAGACUCCUACGGGAGGCAGCAGUGGGGAAUAUUGGACAAUGGGCGAAAGCCUGAUCCAGCCAUGCCGCGUGUGUGAAGAAGGUCUUCGGAUUGUAAAGCACUUUAAGUUGGGAGGAAGGGCAGUUGCCUAAUACGUAACUGUUUUGACGUUACCGACAGAAUAAGCACCGGCUAACUCUGUGCCAGCAGCCGCGGUAAUACAGAGGGUGCAAGCGUUAAUCGGAAUUACUGGGCGUAAAGCGCGCGUAGGUGGUUUGUUAAGUUGGAUGUGAAAUCCCCGGGCUCAACCUGGGAACUGCAUUCAAAACUGACUGACUAGAGUAUGGUAGAGGGUGGUGGAAUUUCCUGUGUAGCGGUGAAAUGCGUAGAUAUAGGAAGGAACACCAGUGGCGAAGGCGACCACCUGGACUAAUACUGACACUGAGGUGCGAAAGCGUGGGG